rnacentral:lncRNA from 1 species
CCGCCGCCCAAGCAUCUCCCGCUCCAUUUCCUUACGAAAAGGUAGUGGAGAUCGAAUCUGAUGAGGACUCCGCUGAGGGGUUGGUUUCUAAAAGGCUUAGGCCUACGACGGUGACUGAUGGAAGAGGCCCAAGCACAAGCCCACAUGCAAGCCCACCAAAGGGUAGAUUUGGGCCAACCAUAGAGUUAUGGCCAAGAGGAUCCAAGAAGACGUUCUUUUACAUGUUCAAAUGUCAUAAACUCUAGUGUAGAGUAGACUUUAAUUUCUUGUCAAAAUUAGCAUAGGAACUUUAUUUGUAAUUUUCUUAGAAUUAAUUUUGGCACCUAAAACACCAACCUAGG